CCUACGGGUGACAGCAGUGGGGAAUAGUGCACAAUGGGGGGAACCCUGAUGCAGCGACGCCGCGUGAGCGAGGAAGUAUUUCGGUAUGUAAAGCUCUAUCAGCAGGGACGAAAAAAGACGGUACCUGACUAAGAAGCCCCGGCUAACUACGUGCCAGCAGCCGCGGUAAUACGUAGGGGGCAAGCGUUAUCCGGAUUUACUGGGUGUAAAGGGUGCGCAGGCGGAAGAUCAAGUCAGCGGUAAAAUUGAGAGGCUCAACCUCUUCGAGCCGUUGAAACUGGUUUUCUUGAGUGAGUGAGACGUAUGCGGAAUGCGUGGUGUAGCGGUGCAAUGCAUCGAUCUCACGCAGAACUCCGAUUGCGACGGCAGCAUACCGGCGCUCAACUGACGCUCAUGCACGAACGUGUGGGUAUCGAACAGGAUUAGAUACCCUUGUAGUC
rnacentral:rRNA from 1 species